UCGGGGAUCGUCUAAUGGUAGGACGCCAGGUUCUGGCUCUGGCAAUCUAGGUUCGAUUCCUAGUCCCCGAA
rnacentral:tRNA from 1 species